rnacentral:rRNA from 1 species
CCCGAGUUGUAAUUUGCAGAGGAUGCUUUUGGCGCGGUGCCUUCCGAGUUCCCUGGAACGGGACGCCAUAGAGGGUGAGAGCCCCGUCUGGUCGGACACCAAGNCAGUGUAAAGCUCCUUCGACGAGUCGAGUAGUUUGGGAAUGCUGCUCUAAAUGGGAGGUAUAUGUCUUCUAAAGCUAAAUACCGGCCAGAGACCGAUAGCGCACAAGUAGAGUGAUCGAAAGAUGAAAAGCACUUUGAAAAGAGGGUUAAACAGUACGUGAAAUUGUUGAAAGGGAAGCGUUCAUGACCAGACUUGGGCCCGGUGAAUCAUCCAGCGUUCUCGCUGGUGCACUUCGCCGGGCCCAGGCCAGCAUCAGUUCGCCGCGGGGGAUAAAAGCUUCGGGAACGUGGCUCCCUCGGGAGUGUUAUAGCCCGUUGCACAAUACCCUGCGGUGGACUGAGGUCCGCGCUCCGCAAGGAUGCUGGCGUAAUGGUCAUCAGCGACCCGUCUUGAAACACGGACCAAGGAGUCGUCUUCGUAUGCGAGUGUUCGGGUGUCAAACCCCUACGCGUAAUGAAAGUGAACGCAGGUGAGAGCUUCGGCGCAUCAUCGACCGAUCCUGAUGUUCUCGGAUGGAUUUGAGUAAGAGCAUACGGGGCCGGACCCGAAAGAAGGUGAACUAUGCCUGUAUAGGGUGAANCCAGAGGAAACUCUGGUGGAGGCUCGCAGCGGUUCUGACGUGCAAAUCGAUCGU